GGAUGAGGGAACAGCUGCCGGACAGUGCUGGACAGCUGUGUGCUUUCACGCUGGGGUGAGGGCAGGUGAUAAACAUCUGAUGUGCCCAGUGUGAGUUCAAGCAACAGUGCCUUGGGUCAGCAAGUAGUUGCUGGAAUUGAAGAGCCUCCCAUGCCACACUGGGGACAUGGCACUGUCUCGGGGACACUGUGGCCUAUCACACACUGAUAGGAAUUUCCUGGCCCAAGUGGGGACUGCAGCUGUGUGGGAUGCAUGGCAAAGCUGCUGAGGCCUUACUGGAAUAGGAUUGUGGAGGCAUCUGCUUGGGCUGAAGCUAACAAAAGUGAUGUAAAGCCAUGCAUUCAUGCUUGUCUGUCAAACACCUUCAGGUUUCUGUGCUGGUUGGAACUUUGCUUCUGAGGCGAUGCUGGUCCAUCAGUCUCCAUCAUGAUAUGCACACUAUACUCAGAAGAGAGGGAUUGCUCUCCUGUUUCAUCACAAUCAGAUUCUGGAACAACUUUGUCUUGGAUAUGGAAGGUGGUGAGCAAGUCUCUCACUAAAUUAGUUUUAGCAAGAAGGAGAUCAGAUGCUUCCAAGAAGCAUCUUCUAAAACCUGAUUUGCUAUUAACUGUUGAUGAGGCUUCAGCAGCUUCAAACUGUCUGAGCUGUUCUGCUGUUCUGCAUUGGAAUAACUCUCAUGUGGCUCCUGGUAAGCCCUCAGACACCUGGGCAGACAAGCAUGUGACAAUGUUGCAUGAUCUACAGAUACCCAAAUCAGAGGCUCCAUGAUGGACUCUGCAAAUUAUUUUGAGACAUGAUGUCCUUUUGUCUCUUGAGAACCUUGCAGGUAUGCUGACAAUGUCAUACAUCUGCCAUGAGCUUAAUUGUGACAAGAUUACUGAAAAUACCCCAAGUAAAUUGCACAAACUUGGGCACCCCUCACCUACAAGCUCAUCUAUUUCAUCUUGCAUUUAGUUCUUUUACCCUUGAAAGACUGGUUGUAACAGAGUCUGGCAGCAAUCACCUUUGACCACAGAAAUGUCUUCCCAUCUUGUACUGCAGCUGCCUCUGAAGCAUUUGAGGGGUGCACAGAGACACCUUUAUGUGCAAGGCUUUCUGUUGGAAGAGAUUACGCUGCAGAAGAAGAUGGUGCAGCUCCUAUUGCCUUGUGUUGUAUCAUGGGGAUGUAUUCUUACCUGCAACCAUGUUACUCUGGGCAGGCUUAAAUCUUGUCUUUGCUUAAUCCAAUCACAUUCAGCUUUGGAAGAAAAUUCUCCUGAGAUACCAGGACUAACUCAGGAAUAUUUCUGAUGGACAAGAUUCUUUGAGUUCCUUUUGCAAGCUCAAAAGACUUCAAUUCCAACAAAUACUAAGUCAGGCAAAAAUGCCAAGAAGUCCGUGCAGAUGAAUAAAGAAAUCUUAGCCAAAUUAAAACACUAAAAAGAAGCAUACAGAGGGUAGAUGUGGGAUUGGAUAACUGGGACAAAUACACAAACAUUGUCAAAGUAUCCACGACUGAAGUUAGAAAAGCCAAAGCCCAAGUGAAACUGAAUCUGGUUGAGAAUUCAAAAACAACAGGAUGGAUUUUUGCAAGUAUGUAGGUAAUAGAAGGAAGCGCGUGUAAUGUGGUCAACAUUGGUCAACAUUGGUAAAUCUGUCUGCAAAAGACAUAUGUCUUGGGGAUGGUUUUUUAUCCCAUACCCAUUUUUGGUUUUGUUUCGUGUCCAGGGUGGUUGUUGCCCCGCCCAUCCUCCCUGACCCUGGCUCUGGGAGUGUUGCAAUGGGUGGGAGCCAGCCUGGGAUUUUCUGUGAGAGGUGUGGGGGGUGAGGGGUGGUUGCUUCCUUCUGGUGAGGUGAGUCCUCUCCAUGGCCACACGGCCCAAUCUCUCUGAUGAGAGAGACUUGUUGCCAUGUGGGUUUUUUCUGCUUUUUUGUUCUUUUCCUUUGGCACUGUGACUAGAACUUACUAGCUUGC